rnacentral:rRNA from 1 species
CGGAGGGGGUACACCUGUUCCCAUCCCGAACACAGAAGUUAAGCCCUCCUGCGGCGAUGGUACUGCACACAAGAGUGCGGGAGAGCAGCACGUUGCUAAGA